rnacentral:rRNA from 1 species
GACGAACGCUGGCGGCGUGCCUAAUACAUGCAAGUCGAACGCAUUUUCUUUCACCGUAGCUUGCUACACCGAAAGAAAAUGAGUGGCGAACGGGUGAGUAACACGUGGGUAACCUGCCCAUCAGCGGGGGAUAACACUUGGAAACAGGUGCUAAUACCGCAUAAUUCCAUUUACCGCAUGGUAGAUGGAUGAAAGGCGCUUUUGCGUCACUGAUGGAUGGACCCGCGGUGCAUUAGCUAGUUGGUGGGGUAACGGCCUACCAAGGCUGCGAUGCAUAGCCGACCUGAGAGGGUGAUCGGCCACACUGGGACUGAGACACGGCCCAGACUCCUACGGGAGGCAGCAGUAGGGAAUCUUCGGCAAUGGACACAAGUCUGACCGAGCAACGCCGCGUGAGUGAAGAAGGUUUUCGGAUCGUAAAACUCUGUUGUUAGAGAAGAACAAGGAUGAGAGUGGAAAGUUCAUCCCUUGACGGUAUCUGACCAGAAAGCCACGGCUAACUACGUG